GGUUAAGUGACUAAGCGUACACGG
rnacentral:rRNA from 1 species